UCGCCUAUAUUCAGAAUCACUGUCUGAUUCUGGUCCAGACAGUUUGUUACUAGAGAACCGACGUGUAGUUUUGCAUGAUAACAGAAGCAAACACCGCAGCAGUCCGACCAUCUCGCAGAGCGGCCCACUAUACAAGCUGGAUGAACAGAACUUUGAAGCUCUGGACGAUGUAGGAAUUGAUCUGAACAGCAUUAGGAACCAAUAUUACUUGUGGAAGAAAUAUAUUGGCCUAGCCGGACCCAACUUUAGAAUACAGCCGCCAGGCUCGGUGGUUUGUGAUACAGAAAGAUCACACGGCACAGACAGCAGAGACUCUCCUUCUUCGGCUGGAUUUUCACAGACCUCCUGGACAGAAGUUGAACCGUCA